rnacentral:rRNA from 1 species
GAAAUGCUUAGAUAUCACGAAGAACUCCGAUUGCGAAGGCAGCCUGCUGGACUGUAACUGACGCUGAUGCUCGAAAGUGUGGGUAUCAAACAGGAUUAGAUACCCUGGUAGUCCACACAGUAAACGAUGAAUACUCGCUGUUUGCGAUAUACAGUAAGCGGCCAAGCGAAAGCGUUAAGUAUUCCACCUGGGGAGUACGCCGGCAACGGUGAAACUCAAAGGAAUUGACGGGGGCCCGCACAAGCGGAGGAACAUGUGGUUUAAUUCGAUGAUACGCGAGGAACCUUACCCGGGCUUGAAUUGCAACUGAAUGAUGUGGAGACAUGUCAGCCGCAAGGCAGUUGUGAAGGUGCUGCAUGGUUGUCGUCAGCUCGUGCCGUGAGGUGUCGGCUUAAGUGCCAUAACGAGCGCAACCCUUAUCGAUAGUUACCAUCAGGUUAUGCUGGGGACUCUGUCGAGACUGCCGUCGUAAGAUGUGAGGAAGGUGGGGAUGACGUCAAAUCAGCACGGCCCUUACGUCCGGGGCUACACACGUGUUACAAUGGGGGGUACAGAAGGCAGCUACACGGCGACGUGAUGCUAAUCCCUAAAGCCUCUCUCAGUUCGGAUUGGAGUCUGCAACCCGACUCCAUGAAGCUGGAUUCGCUAGUAAUCGCGCAUCAGCCACGGCGCGGUGAAUACGUUCCCGGGCCUUGUACACACCGCCCGUCAAGCCAUGAAAGCCGGGGGUACCUGAAGUGCGUAACCGCAAGGAGCGCCCUAGGGUAAAACUGGUGAUUGGGGCUAAGUCGUAACAAGGUAGCCGUACCGGAAGGUGCGGCUG